GGCAUCACUAGGGCCAGACUCUGGUGCCCAUGGGCCUCUGCUCAUCCUCGCUCCUUCCCACCCUCAAGGUUGGCACCCUUUCCCUCUGCACUAGUGACUUUCCCCUGUGCCACAUCCAGCACCUACCACCCAACCACUCUGUUGCCAGCUGCUCAGAGCGGCAAAAGCCAGCUGCGCAGAUGCUUUCCCCGGAGUGUGAGUACUAUUCUGUUUACAUAGCUGGGGAAAGCAACACAGUGUAAUGACUAAGAGCCUGAAUUUGGCGCUACACAGAUAAGGAUCUGAACUCAUGCUCCACCAUACUUACUGUGCAGGCUGGAGCACAUGAGUAGAGACAAGAUUUCAUCAUCUUGGCCAGGCUGGUCCUGAAUUCCUGACAUCAUGGUUUACCCACCUUGCCUCCCAAAGUGCUGGGAUUACAGAUACCGUCUCUAUUAGCUCAGAACAAGAAUAUUGAUUGCAUUUGGUGAACUAAGGUAUAAAGGAUUGAAAUUUAACCUUUCAGUGAAAGUUUUUAGAAGACUGAAAUGGAUUUUAAAAAUUACAGCUUGCAGUCAUACCAAUUAAGUCGAAACAAUGGGCCAGAUGUGGUGGCUCACACCUUUAAUCCCAGUACUUUGGGAGGUCAAGGUGGGUGGAUCACCUAAGAUCAGCAGUUUGAGACCAGCCUGGCCAUCACCGUGAAACCCUGUCUCUACUAAAAAUACAAAAAUUAGCUAGGCAUAGUGGCAAGCACCUAUAAUCCCAGCUACUUGGGAGGCUGAAGCAGGAGAAUCACUUGAACCUGGGAGGUGGAGGUUGCAGUGAGCUGAGAUUGUGCCACUGCACUCCAGCCUGGACAACAAGAGUGAAACUCCACCUCAAAAAAAGAAAAAUAAUAAUAAUAAUCAAAAUAAUGAAACUAUUAAACUCUGCAUUUACAAAGAAAAUGGAGUUAAAAGGUAUCGAAUGUAUAUGUUUACACAGAGACAGACAUAUAAUGUGCCUACACACACACACACACACACACACACA